rnacentral:rRNA from 1 species
GCGGCAUGCCUUACACAUGCAAGUCGAACGGCAGCAUGAUCUAGCUUGCUAGAUUGAUGGCGAGUGGCGAACGGGUGAGUAAUACAUCGGAACGUGCCCUGUAGUGGGGGAUAACUAGUCGAAAGAUUAGCUAAUACCGCAUACGACCUGAGGGUGAAAGUGGGGGACCGCAAGGCCUCAUGCUAUAGGAGCGGCCGAUGUCUGAUUAGCUAGUUGGUGAGGUAAAGGCUCACCAAGGCGACGAUCAGUAGCUGGUCUGAGAGGACGAUCAGCCACACUGGGACUGAGACACGGCCCAGACUCCUACGGGAGGCAGCAGUGGGGAAUUUUGGACAAUGGGCGAAAGCCUGAUCCAGCAAUGCCGCGUGUGUGAAGAAGGCCUUCGGGUUGUAAAGCACUUUUGUCCGGAAAGAAAUGGCUCUGGUUAAUACCUGGGGUCGAUGACGGUACCGGAAGAAUAAGGACCGGCUAACUACGUGCCAGCAGCCGCGGUAAUACGUAGGGUCCAAGCGUUAAUCGGAAUUACUGGGCGUAAAGCGUGCGCAGGCGGUUGUGCAAGACCGAUGUGAAAUCCCCGAGCUUAACUUGGGAAUUGCAUUGGUGACUGCACGGCUAGAGUGUGUCAGAGGGGGGUAGAAUUCCACGUGUAGCAGUGAAAUGCGUAGAGAUGUGGAGGAAUACCGAUGGCGAAGGCAGCCCCCUGGGAUAACACUGACGCUCAUGCACGAAAGCGUGGGGAGCAAACAGGAUUAGAUACCCUGGUAGUCCACGCCCUAAACGAUGUCAACUAGUUGUUGGGGAUUCAUUUCCUUAGUAACGUAGCUAACGCGUGAAGUUGACCGCCUGGGGAGUACGGUCGCAAGAUUAAAACUCAAAGGAAUUGACGGGGACCCGCACAAGCGGUGGAUGAUGUGGAUUAAUUCGAUGCAACGCGAAAAACCUUACCUACUCCUUGACA